AAAGACGGUGGUUCUGUAAAAGGGUUGGAUCCGACGCCUUUGGAAGGCUACUAUAGGCUCUCCUUCCCAACUCCUACUCAAUACGUCCACGUCGUGCAGAACGGUAACUUGUCGCCCAGAUCCAAGCUUGGGUACACGGGGAAACCCAACCCCUUGGGUGGAUGGGCGGCAAGGCAGAAUUGAGAGGU
rfam:Anopheles epiroticus strain epiroticus2 unplaced genomic scaffold supercont1.1439, whole genome shotgun sequence.